rnacentral:rRNA from 1 species
GAUGAACGCUGGCGGCGUGCCUAAUACAUGCAAGUCGAGCGAACAGACGAGGAGCUUGCUCCUCUGACGUUAGCGGCGGACGGGUGAGUAACACGUGGAUAACCUACCUAUAAGACUGGGAUAACUUCGGGAAACCGGAGCUAAUACCGGAUAAUAUAUUGAACCGCAUGGUUCAAUAGUGAAAUACGGUUUUGCUGUCACUUAUAGAUGGAUCUGCGCCGCAUUAGCUAGUUGGUAAGGUCACGGCUUACCAAGGCAACGAUGCGUAGACGACGUGAGAGGGGGAUCGCCCACACUGGAGCGGGACCGGCCUCCAGGCGCCUGCGGGAGGGAGCAGAAGGGAAUCUUCGGCAAUAGGCGGAAGCCUGACGGAGCAGCGCCGCGUGAGUGAUGGAGGUGUUCGGAUCGUAAAACUCUGUUAUUGGUGGAGAACAAAUGUGGAAGUAACUGUGCACGUCUUGACGGUAACUGGUCAGAAAGCCACGGCUAACUACGUG